GGGAUUUGCCAAUGGGCGCAACCUGAUGCAGCCUGCCGCGUGUGUGAAGAAGGCCUUCGGGUUGUAAAGCACUUUCAGCAGUGAGGAAGGCGUGGUGGUUAAUACCCAUUACGUUUGACGUUAGCUGCAGAAGAAGCACCGGCUAACUCCGUGCCAGCAGCCGCGGUAAUACGGAGGGUGCGAGCGUUAAUCGGAAUUACUGGGCGUAAAGCGCAUGCAGGCGGUUUGUUAAGCAAGAUGUGAAAGCCCCGGGCUCAACCUGGGAACCGCAUUUUGAACUGGCAGGCUAGAGUCUUGUAGAGGGGGGUAGAAUUUCAGGUGUAGCGGUGAAAUGCGUAGAGAUCUGAAGGAAUACCGGUGGCGAAGGCGGCCCCCUGGACAAAGACUGACGCUCAGAUGCGAAAGCGUGGGGAGCAAACAGGAUUAGAUACCCUGGUAGUCCACGCUGUAAACGAUGUCUACUUGGAGGUUGCGGUCUUGAACUGUGGCUUUCGGAGCUAACGCGUUAAGUAGACCGCCUGGGGAGUACGGUCGCAAGAUUAAAACUCAAAUGAAUUGACGGGGGCCCGCACAAGCGGUGGAGCAUGUGGUUUAAUUCGAUGCAACGCGAAGAACCUUACCUACUCUUGACAUCCACAGAAGCCGUAAUAAAUUCUGUUGCCGUCGGGAGUNUGNCGUCAGUCG
rnacentral:rRNA from 1 species